UACGAAGGGUGCAAGCGUUACUCGGAAUUACUGGGCGUAAAGCGUGCGUAGGUGGUGAGUUAAGUCUGUCGUGAAAGCCCCGGGCUCAACCUGGGAAUGGCGAUGGAUACUGGCUCGCUAGAGUGCGGUAGAGGAGAGUGGAAUUCCCGGUGUAGCAGUGAAAUGCGUAGAGAUCGGGAGGAACAUCAGUUGCGAAGGCGGCUCUCUGGACCAGCACUGACACUGAGACGCGAAAGCGUGGGGAGCAAACAGG
rnacentral:rRNA from 1 species